GUGCCAGCCGCCGCGGUAAUACCGGCAGCCCGAGUGAUGGCCGAUCUUAUUGGGCCUAAAGCGUCCGUAGCUGGCUGCGCAAGUCCGUCGGGAAAUCCACUCGCCCAACGAGUGGGCGUCCGACGGAAACUGUUCGGCUUGGGGCCGGAGGACCCGAGGGGUACGUCCGGGGUAGGAGUGAAAUCCUGUAAUCCUGGACGGACUACCGAUGGCGAAAGCACUCUGAGAAGACGGCUUCGACAGUGAGGGACGAAAGCCAGGGUCUCCAACCGGAUUAGAUACCCGAGUAGUCC
rnacentral:rRNA from 1 species